rnacentral:tRNA from 1 species
GGGCCCGUAGUUCAUUGGUAGAACAUCGUCCUUAUAAGACGAAUGUAGAAAGUUCGAUUCUUUCCGGGCCCACCA